rnacentral:rRNA from 1 species
GGUACAAAGAGCAGCUAACUCGCGAGAGUAUGCAAAUCUCAAAAAAGCCAUCCUCAGUUCGGAUUGGAGUCUGCAACUCGACUCCAUGAAGUUGGAAUCGCUAGUAAUCGCGGAUCAGCAUGCCGCGGUGAAUUACCGGUUCCCGGGCCUU